UCAAAUGAAUUGACGGGGAGCACCACAACGGGUGGAGCUUGCGGUUUAAUUGGAUUCAACGCUGGAAAUCUUACCGGGACCGACAGCAAUAUGAAGGCCAGGCUGAAGACUUUGCCGGAUUAGCUGAGAGGUGGUGCAUGGCCGUCGUCAGUUCGUACUGUGAAGCAUCCUGUUAAGUCAGGCAACGAGCGAGACCCACGCCCACAGUUGCCAGCGUACUCUCCGGAGUGACGGGUACACUGUGGGACCGCCGCUGCUAAAGCGGAGGAAGGAAUGGGCAACGGUAGGUCAGUAUGCCCCGAAUAUCCCGGGCUACACGCGAGCUACAAUGGUUGGUACAAUGGGUAUCUACCCCGAAAGGGGACGGGAAUCUCCUAAAACCAAUCUUAGUUCGGAUUGAGGGCUGCAACUCGCCCUCAUGAAGCUGGAAUCCGUAGUAAUCGCGUUUCAACAGAACGCGGUGAAUACGUCCCUGCUCCUU
rnacentral:rRNA from 1 species